rnacentral:rRNA from 1 species
AGACCGAUAGCGAACAAGUACCGUGAGGGAAAGAUGAAAAGCACUUUGGAAAGAGAGUUAAACAGCACGUGAAAUUGUUAAAAGGGAAACGAUUGAAGUCAGUCGUGUGAAAGGUAUUCAGCCGUCUCUGGCGGUGUAUUUGCCUUUCACGGGUCAACAUCAGUUUAGUCCGGUAGAAAAAGGCUGGAGGAAGGUGGCACCCUCGGGUGUGUUAUAGCCUCCUGUCAUAUGUGCCGGAUUAGACUGAGGAACGCAGCUUGCAGCAAUGCCGGGGUUCGCCCACGUACAAGCUUAGGAUGUUGACAUAAUGGCUUUAAACGACCCGUCUUGAAACACGGACCAAG